GAUGAACGCUGGCGGCGUGCCUAAUACAUGCCAGUCGAGCGAACAGACGAGGAGCUUGCUCCUCUGACGUUAGCGGCGGACGGGUGAGUAACACGUGGAUAACCUACCUAUAAGACUGGGAUAACUUCGGGAAACCGGAGCUAAUACCGGAUAAUAUAUUGAACCGCAUGGUUCAAUAGUGAAAGACGGUUUUGCUGUCACUUAUAGAUAGAUCCGCGCCGCAUUAGCUAGUUGGUAAGGUAACGGCUUACCAAGGCGACGAUGCGUAGCCGACCUGAGAGGGUGAUCGGCCACACUAGAACUGAGACACGGUCCAGACUCCUACGGGAGGCAGCAGUAGGGAAUCUUCCGCAAUGGGCGAAAGCCUGACGGAGCAACGCCGCGUGAGUGAUGAAGGUCUUCGGAUCGUAAAACUCUGUUAUUAGGGAAGAACAAAUGUGUAAGUAACUAUGCACGUCUUGACGGUACCUAAUCAGAAAGCCACGGCUAACUACGUG
rnacentral:rRNA from 1 species